UUUUAACUUUUUUUCUCUUUUUUUUCAGUUUACAUUUUGGUACAAUUUUCAAUAAUAAUUUUUUGACAUUUUGUGAUCUGUGUUCUCUCCUUCCAACCAACCUCUACCUUCCCCCAAAAUGGAAGAGUCUGCUCUCCUGGAAAGAUCUUGAAGAGGAUUGUGCCUGUGAUCUAUGGAGGAAGGAGUUUUUCUGGAUCUGGCUGCUGGCAGCAUCAAUCUGGACUCACUUGGACCUCUAACAACAGAAGAUCCUGGCUCUAUUUGAUUUGGACUCCUGGUGUGAGAUUGGAAUAUUUGGGAAGGUAAAGUUUUAGUUUAAUAACAUAGUUCAGUUAGUUAUUAUCUUUUAAAUUAAAUAUAAGAAUAAGUAUGUUCCUAAACCCUUAUUCCUUUCCUACCCUUCCAAAAAAAUAAAGCAGAAUUCAUUUAUAUGUUUUCUUCUUGU
rnacentral:lncRNA from 1 species